AUUGAACGCUGGCGGCAGGCCUAACACAUGCAAGUCGAGCGGAGCGGCGGACGGGUGAGUAAUGCCUAGGAAUCUGCCUGGUAGUGGGGGAUAACGUCCGGCAACGGGCGCUAAUACCGCAUACUAUCAGAUGAGCCUAGGUCGGGUUCGGUAGUGGGUGGGGUAAUGGCCUACCAAGGCGACGAUCCGUACCGGGUCUGAGAGGAUGAUCAGUCAAACUGGAACUGAGACACGGUCCAGACUCCUACGGGAGGAAGCAGUGGGGAAUAGUGGACAAGGGGCGAAAGCCUGAUCCAGCCAUGCCGGGUGUGGGAAGAAGGUCUUCGGAUUUUAAAGCACUUUAAGUUGGGAGGCGUUACCAGCAGAAUAAGCACCGGCUAACUUCGUGCCAGCAGCCGCGGUAAUUC
rnacentral:rRNA from 1 species